UACGUAGGGGGCAAGCGUUGUCCGGAAUCAUUGGGCGUAAAGAGCGUGUAGGCGGCCAGAUAAGUCCGCUGUGAAAUCUCGAGGCUCAACUUCGAGCUGUCGGUGGAAACUGUCUGGCUAGAGUCCGGAAGAGGAGAAUGGAAUUCCUGGUGUAGCGGUGAAAUGCGCAGAUAUCAGGAAGAACACCCGUGGCGAAGGCGGCUCUCUGGGACGGUACUGACGCUGAGACGCGAAAGCCAGGGGAGCAAACGGG
rnacentral:rRNA from 1 species